ACGUUGUCCAUGAAUCUCCUUGUGCCAUUGACUGGUUGAAAAUUUCUCGCCAAAUGAGUGACUAUUUAAGUAGAAGAACAAAGAAAAGAACAAAAUUAUUAAAACUAAAGACCAUCAAUCAAAACAAACGAAUGCAAACAAAAACAAAACAAAAUCAAAAUUCCAAAUUUAAAUUAAUUAGUUAAGGUCAAGUUAUGAUUAAGAAACAGAAACAAUUAACAUAAUGAUCAACAUAAAUGUUUCCUUUUGGAGGGAAACAGUUGCUAUGGGAAAAUCUCUGUUCUCCUAUUGGUUCAUUUCAAUGUCAAUCUUGUUUUCUAUUUGUUUCUCAUUUUGGUCAAGUUAAUUGUUGAUGGAAUUAUUUUUAAUACGUUUUAACCUAAAUUGUAAUAAAACCUUUUUUUUUAAUCAACGGAUUAUUAAAGAAUCAGUGAUUAAUCAAUUGGAAUAAUGUUUUCACAGCUUCUCUCUUUUUCCAACAUAAAUUGUUAAUUCUUUUCAUAAAAAAAAGGUUAAAUUUAGUUGAUUGUUAAUGAUUAUUUAUACCUGUUCAUAAUGAAAAUCACGUAACAUGGUAACGAAUGAAGGUAGAAAGGACCUGAUAUUUGUUUUCACCCUAAAGACUAACCUUUAUACAUCAAGAUUAUUACCCCUUCUUAACCUUGGAAGUGAUUUUUUUUGUUUCUUCAAACCAAUUAAUGUAACCAAUUGAUUUCUGCAAAUUAUUUAUGCUAAUCAUAAUCACGAUGAUCCUGUUAAAGGUGAUGAUGGUUUUGCUUAUUUGGUGUUAGUAUCAGUGAUUUGGGAUAAUUGUUUAUAAGCAAUGAACAUCUAAUUGUCACAUCAACUAAUUAUUCAUCUUGAUGAGAGAGAGAUAUAUAUAUUAAUAUAUAUACUCACUCUUAUACUCAAUUUGUUAAUCAAUUAUACCAAUUGGUGACAUUGAAAGAAGGAUAAAGGUUGAGGAUUGGUAUAAACAACAACCUUUAAGCUAAUAGAUUAUCUCUGCUUAGCACGUUUCACCAACACCAACCAUUUAAUACACUGUUAUCUGUUUGUCCCAAUUAACUACUGAUGUUGGUUCACCAAUAGAAGCAAAAAAAUGUCACCAUACUACUUGACUCUCGCUCUGUUGAUGAUAAUGAUGAUAAUCUAUCUAACCUGUUGCCGUUGAAAUAGAUAACAACGAAAUUGAACGUGAAAAUGAAAACGAAAUCAACUCUUAAAGGUUGUGAUAUAAUUUUCAUCUCAUUUUUGUGAGUGAAUGUGUUUGCGUAGAUGUGCCUUGAAUAAAAUUAUCACAGUCCAAUUACGAUCAACUCUAACGGUUUCUUAUCGACACCAACAAUCAAUGAAGCAGAAACAAUAUUUGGUUCUUAUUAUUACAUCAUAGCCUCAGGAUUGGAAAGUGAAAGCUUUUUAAACAUAUACACACACUCGAUGGUAAUGGAUAUAAUUAUUUCAUCAAUAGUGACAAUAUGAUUCUGAAAAAUGAAGGCGCAAUCAAAGACACAACUGAUAUGAUAUAAUAAUAGUGAUUAAGUGUGGUGAUAAUCAAAUGCCUCUGGAAAUGUUGAUAAACUUAACCUCAAUUCUGCUUGAUUAUCAAGUUUACUUGGUAUUAGCAAUACAAUUGAAUAUGAUUUUCAAUUUUUAUCAACACUCAAAAUCAAUUGUAACAAUAAUAAUUACAAACCCCGUUAACCAUUAUCAAGAUAUUAAUCCAACAUAUCCACUUAAUACAAGUAAUCAUAUGGUCACUGGUAAUUGAUUAUCGAUAAACAAUUUAACUCCUGA